rnacentral:tRNA from 1 species
AAUAGUUUAGUAUAAGUUAUUACAUAUAAUUUCCAAUUAUAAGAUUUAAAUUUUUAAACUAUUA